CGGCGGUGACAUUGUGCAAAGCCUUGUACUCUUGAAAAGCAGGUUUUGCAAUGUUUCACGGUCGGU
rnacentral:pre_miRNA from 1 species